rnacentral:rRNA from 1 species
ACUCCUACGGGAGGCAGCAGUGGGGAAUAUUGGACAAUGGGCGCAAGCCUGAUCCAGCCAUGCCGCGUGAGUGAUGAAGGCCUUAGGGUUGUAAAGCUCUUUUGUCCGGGAAGAUAAUGACUGUACCGGAAGAAUAAGCCCCGGCUAACUUCGUGCCAGCAGCCGCGGUAAU